CAGCCCCUCCACCUCGCUCAUGGCUUCACUGAGCUCCUCCCGCAGGCGCUGAAUCUCCACCAGCAGCUCCUGCUUCCGCCGCCGGAUGUUCUCCAGCUCCAUCCGCUCCUCCGGAGUCAGGUCUGGGGGUUCUAGGGAUCGGGGUCAAGGUUUAAAAGUCAGUGCUAGGGGCCGUGAGCCUGAAUUCCUGCAAUCUGGGGGCGGACAGAGCUGGGAGAGGAUGUGUAAGGGGCUUCCUAUGUCUGCACAGAAGAAUGGGCUGGGGGCCUGGAUUCCUCCCUGCAGAGGAGAAAGAGCUGGGGCUCUAAACUCUUGAGUCCUGGGGGACAAGGGGAAUUGGGGCCCGGAUUCCUGAGUCUGAGGGAGAAGGGGAAUGGGUGCCUGAGCUCUUAGAUCUGAGGGAAGAAAGGGCUGGGGGCCUCGGCUUCUAGGUCCAUUACUUGGAAGGGGACUGAGGCCUUGGUUUUCUGACUCCAUUACUGGCGAGGUAGCUGGGGACCUGGUUAUCCGGACUACUGGGUCCAUGAAAAGUCACUACAGCCGGGGGAACUGAUGACAGCUCAGGAGAGUUGGGAAGGUGGGGCGGGACAUCGAAGGCCCCCGCCCCCCAAGAUUUCUCCCCUCCCCGCAACCCAAGCGCCCCUCCCCGGCCCCGGCAGGCGCUGGGCUCGCCCGCCCCUCCAGCGGGAAUGGUUCCGCCCCGGCCUCGCCUCCACCACUCCAUCCCGCCCCUCCCGCCGCCACCGGAAACAGGCUCAGCCCAAACAAUGGCCUGGAACGCCCGGCUUUCGGGCCCCGCCGGAAGCCCGUCCAGCGCCCAACAAAAGCGGCGCGACAAGUCUACGACUGAGCCGAACGCUUCUGGGCGCCGCGCGCCAGGGGGAAACGUUCGCGGCGGAACGUUCAGGAGAAAACGCUCCAGCAACUCCCAGCCGACCCCGCCCCUCCCCGACCUACCAUAGACGCCGUCCUCCAUGGCGGCUAGGAAGGCCCGCGGGGAAUCCGGGGCGGUCCCGCCAGUCGGGCCUGGAUCCGCGUUGGCCCGCGGGCUCGGGUGAGCCCGCUCAAACGCCCCGGGAGCCACCGCCGCCUCCUCAGCGCCAGUCCUCAGCGCUGAAAAGACUCUUCCCUUCGUCGCCCAACCGCCCCUUCAGUAGGGACCGCCCCUCUUUUUGACACUGUCCAAUCCACAGUGGGCGCUUUCGUCCUCCCCGCCCUCGCCACCAAAGGAUCGUUCUCCAGGGCCAACAGUCGUACAAAAAGCCGGUGUAGGUAUGUCCGGCCAGAGGUAGACGGCCCGCGGGGCCAAUCGGAGUGCAGGCAGGGCAGCAGGCCCCGCCUCCGAAACAACAGAAAGCACUUGACAGGCUUGCUCUCCAAUGAGAAGCCCCGGAAAAGUGUCGCGCGGAGGCGGAGCCACGCGGUACAGCCACCUCUGCGCCUGCUCAAAGGCCCUGGACACUUGGAGUCUAGAUGGGGAAACUGACAUGAAGAGGAGUCCAAAGUGACACAGUCAGGCCAGAAAUGUUGCUUCUGAAGUCCUGAGUCCACCUCCUAGCACUGCCAAGCAGUCCACCUGGAGGUGAUGAGAACUUCCAGGCUUUGGUAAUGGACAACUCUGUAUCCCUGGAGCCUUCAUUCCUUUUGGCAUUACAGAACCACAAGAAGUCAUCUAGAAUCAUUGAGAUUCUCAACUCCAUUGGGCAAACUGGAACCAGCAAAAUCUCAGAUAUCUAGAAUUGCCACUGCUUCCUUGACUCUGUGAUCAGUCUACAGCCACAGAAUCCUGAUUCCCUUUGGACAUUCUAGAAUGGCACUUUAAAAAAAAACAACCCACCCAGUGGAUCCUUUCAAAGCACUGCUUAUUCUCUUGGCUGGGUGCUCUACAGCCAGAAGUUGGAGUUAUCUAAUAUCAAGAACUCUUAAUCUGUCACUUCAGUCUUUCUAAACCCACAGACUAACAAUGUUUUGUGCAUUCUAGAAACAUUACUCUUUAGUUUCUGGAGUAGUUCAACUCUCCACGUAAAAUCUGUCCUAGACUCACCAGUGCUUGCCUCUGUGGUCAACCUAGACUCACAGAAUCUCAACUAAUGAGCUUUCUGGAACCACAGGUCUUUUUUUUUUUUUUGGUCUUUGGUCAAUCAAGAUGAUCUUGAAUACUUGGGGCAUUCCAUAACCUUCCCUCCUUAGGUGGUCUAGAACAAAUGAUUUGCUACUCAGUUGGCUGAGUUGAGAAGCAACACUCCCUUGAAUCUUAGGUGAAUCCAGACCUACAAACUCUUGAUAUCUGAUGCUGUUCAAGAACUGCCAACUUGCUUCCCCAGAGGCAGUCUAUACCAUUGGCUUCUCACCCUGGUCAACAAUCCAGGUCUCCCCAUAUAGAGGAAUCUAGAACUGCCAGUCUUUUCCUCUUGGGUGAUCCAGAAUUCUGGUGAGACUGAGGAAUCAGGCUCAUAAAGGGUUCUCAGGAGGGAGCACAGAAGCAGAGGAAUUAAGGUCCAGUAUGUCCAUGGUGGGUCACCAGGCAUGGCAGAACCUUACCACCUAGUCAUUUACCCAGCAGGCCUGUCGGUAUUCAGGAACACCUGCCCCCAUCCCAGGAGAGAGCCCCAUCCCUCCAUCUUGCUACCUUGGGGAAGGGGGCAUACACGGGGAAGGGGACAUCAGUUUGCAUCAUGGAGGCAGGGUCAGCGCCAGGGUUGGUGUGAGAACUCGGGGGCUAGCAGCCCCAUCUUCUGUUUCCACCCCAUUCCCUUCCUCAGUCUCAUCGUCCUCAUCUUCCUCCUGGCAGCAGCUCAGAGCAAGUUCAUUCUCAUAACAAAAUGCAGUCAGAGAGCCGGGGAAACUAGACUUGAGGCUGUGGGAAGCCUGCUCUGCCCGUUCAUCCAGCUCCUUAGCACUGCAGACCGGUGUCCCUGGGACCUCAUAAGUGCGAUGGAAGUGGCGAUAGUCGACCUCAUACUGGGAGCCACGCUGGAAGAGAACUGGCUCAAAACGAUGGCCCCAGAGCAGUUCACCAGGGAGGUAGGACGAGCGACACUGUGUGGUCAUGGCUGUGGCCUCAACCAUCCCCUCGAGAAUGACCACCAGCUCAAAGUCAGCCCUGGCCAGCUCGGCACGUCCUAGCUCAUACAGAGGACUGGCAGAGUCGAUCUCAUGGACGAUGGUGAUGGGGGACACGAGGAAGAUACGAUCGGUGCCUCCAUCAAAGCCCACAUCCACAUCCUGGUGGUCCAGCGGGAUGUACUCACCCUCUGGGGUCACACGGGGCUGCAGCAGGAGGCGAGGAGCCAAAGACAGCAGGGAGCACAGAGACGGGCAGAGACGAAGUGAGAGAGAGGAAGAGAUGCAGAGAAAGAAGGCAAAGACCACAGGAGUGAAGAAAAGGGUGAGAACACAGAUCAAGAGAUGGGGCCGGCAACCCAGAGAGAGAGGAAGUCAGAGAGGCAGGGGAGGGCACAGAAACCCAGUAAGGGAGCCAGAGACCCAGGAGGGGAGGAUGGAGGUCCAGAGAAAACAUGGGACAUGGGACAGAGACCCAGAGAUAAAGAGAGAGGAAAGAGACUCAGGGUUUGGGGGUAGAAAACGGGAAGAGGGGCGUGGUGGGGGAAGAGGAGAGAGGGACAGAGUGAUAUUGGCAUAGAGACACAGAAAUCAGCAAGACAGAGAUGAAAUCAAAGCGACAACGGAAAAUAAGGAUGACAUUCAACAGAGAAUUGGAGAAGGAGCGGGAGAGAAAAAUGGCUUUUAGUAUGUGGCCAGAGAAAGAUAAAUCAGAUGACAAGAAGGGGGAGUUAGGGCAACCUAGGUCCAACAUUCUGCACCCACCACUGCCUCAGGCUUAUCCCUGGGCUCUCCCCUGAGCUAUCCUAGCUGUCAGGGCAACUGCAAACCCUUCCAUGUCAUUCUGUGUGUGAGCACGCUUUGUGGGGGUGUGGGUAUUUCACCCCCGCCUACCCGCUGGUUCCAUAGCCACCUCCCAGGCCAAGUCACUGCCCCACCGACUUCUGCAAGAGCCAGUGUCCCUCCUAUUCAUGAAUCCUGGUAUCUCAAAGCUUCAGGCAGGAGAUUGAAGUGGGAGGUGGGCAUCUAUCCUCCUCUUGUAAGUGUCUCUGGAAGCCCCAAG
rnacentral:lncRNA from 1 species